AAUAGAGGCAAGGACAGAGAAGAGGUCCUGCUCCGGUGACAGGUCGAAAUCGAACGGAACGAAAAGCGCGCUAAACCAGUUCCUCUCUGCUGGACAGAAGGUAAACGCGAUUGCGGAAUAGGGCGAGGUUUGAAUGCUCGGAGGCCAAAGAGAGAGCUUCCUCCGAUCGAAACAAAAAGGCUGCUUUAAGCACCUAGGGGCCAAAAAUAGCUUCGAAACAAAAACGACGGGCAAAUAACUGCCCUGAACAAAAGACUGCUUAGGAAAUGGGAUCUAAGAUGUCCUCAGAGAAAAAGACAGUUUACGAACUGAUGAAAUGCCUCCUUAAACAACACAGGCUCGAAUUAGAUGACUUUUCCUUGCAAAACUUGCUGCUGUAGGACGCAGCGCCACUGCAAGUGGGAAGAGAGCGCCAAAAUAGUGGCAGCUCCUCGGCACCGCUACUGCCGGAGGCGCCGCCCCUUAAGUCUCUACGGCCGCGGCCGCCGCCGCUUACUACCGCUGCCAGCAGCAGCCGCCGCUGCCGGGGGGGGCUGGCCGCCGCCCGUCUCGCCUUCCAGCUUCCAGCUCUGCCGUCGCCGCCAACCCGCGCAUGGUCGGGGUGCGAGCGAGCGCCAGCGAGCUGCCGCACUGCCUCAGCAAGUUCCCGUGUCGCCGCCUGCUACCGCUGCCAAUGGCGGCUGCUGCCCAGCGGGGGCUGCUCGCCGCCUACCUCGUCGACCUACAGUUUCCAGCCUCUCCGCCGCGGCGGAACCCGAGCCGGCCCGCGACCCCCCGCCUCUCUGAGUCGCCCGUCCCCGACAAGCGCCCAGCCCGUCGAACUCGUUCUCCGAUCGGAAGAGCUGCCUGACCGCCUCCCUCAGCGAUUCCGAGCCGCCCAGCCUGGAGGACUCAGACUGCCGCCAGCCGCCUCUCCAUCUCCGACAACUGAGGGGGGAUGGGGAACCAGCCGUGGGGGGGUCCCACGUCGACCCUGCACCACGUGAAAAGAUUCCCUGAUAAUUCGUAUGAGGACUCAUACAAGAUUUCAUAUGAAUCGAAUCUGGUUAUACUAAGAAAACUCACGGUAUUUUUUUAAAAAAAAACAUCAAUAAGUUGCCAUUUUAAAUAUGUAUUUGCCUCAUUAUUCUCACUUUGACACUCAUCAUACACCAUUGACAGACUGCAGAGAUACAAAAGGACUAGGAAGUUGUAAACAAGACCUCAUAGGUGUGACUACUAUAGAAAGCACAUUUGUUUCACCAAUGCUUAGGUUGCAUCUAGUCCCUGAAAUCAAGAACAUAGAUGCCUGAUUUUUAUGACCUUUGUUGUGUCUCUCUAUGUCCUUACCACAAUGUAGGUAUGUGCUUGUGUUAAAAGCCAGUCUGUUUUCUUCACUUUCAGAUUUCUGAACCUUAAUUUUAGGGGGUUUAAUUUUGAUCGCCUAAUUUGGCUUGAGAAAUACAUGGUUGCCAGUUAUAGGAACUACAAAGGUGACAAGCUAUUACAUACAGAUUUGAUUUGAAGUGUUUUCUGGUUAAUUCAAUGGAAACAGGUUUAACAAAGCAGAGUUUUUACGGAUUAAGGUGGACAGUAAGACUUCCAUAUUUUUCUUAAAACUGACUAUAAAGAUAUGCAGAAUGCUUUUACAUUGAUAUGAUUCCUUCAUAUGUCUUUAUAAUGCCAACCUUUGUGGCCCAAAUUAUUCUGACAUGUAAUGCCUUCGUAUAACUAUACUUUCCAUGUAAGAGGGGCACAUGAGUGUAGGAAGCAAGAAGCAAUGGUAAAAUGGUUAAAAUUAGUUCCAAUAUUUUGUUGACAUAUUUGGCUUUGUGAUUACUGUAAGUGGCAUAAAGUUGCUUGAAACAUUUUUUCAGGUAUAUAAAGAGCUGUACAUUGUCUGGAAAAAGAGGCCUUCUUGCUAAAUUAAUUUUUACUUGUGGUGUUAAAAGUAAGGCUGAAGUGUUUCUUGUUAAAUCCAUUUAAGAAUACUUUUGCUUCUAAGAUGCAGCUAUAGAUUUUUGUUAUUAGCUCAUUCUGAAUUGAUACAUCAAAGCAUUGAUAAGUUAAAGAAACUUUCAGCUCAACUUACAGAAGACAAUAAUCAAGGCUUAGGUGGCAUAUUUAGUUCGCUUAAUAUGUUUAGUAUAGUACCCUAGUUAAAGAAAGCAUUUAUAGUAAUAUUAAUGGGCCUGUUUGUAUUUUUUUGUAUUAUGCUUUGUAUUCUCUGUUUAUUAUCUUGUAUACAACACGUGGUUAAUUGCAGUUUUGUGGAAAGCCUCAAUCUCGCAGCUUGAAAACAAAAAGGGGGAGAUGUUGGAGUAUAAAUUCUUUAUGACACAGAAAUCUUAGCCAGAAACCAUGGGAUUUAAACAAAGACAAGGAAAGUCUGUUUACAUCCACUCCCUGAAAUUCUUACAUUAUCUUUUAAUUAAGCAGACUUGUAGGCUCCAUAGGUAAAUCCCUUUAUCACUUUGUUUGCCCCAUCUGCCUUGUGAUUGUGAUAAAGAAAUAUCUGUUUAUCUGUUUGAAGAAAAAUAUCUCCCUGUGUUUCGUGGACCUUUAACCCCAGCUAUGAAUGGAAUGUUUGUCCCUCUUUCCCAAAACCCUAUAUAUACCAAAGUUGUGAUGAAUAAAGCAUUCAAUUUUGUACACACAAA